rnacentral:miRNA from 1 species
AGCACACUCGCUGACUGAGGGAUG